CACAUUUUCUUUGAAAUAUUCAAAAUAUAUUCAAGUUAUUUUCAAAACUGAAGCUCCAAAUGGCCAUUUGUCUUAUAAUGUUAUUUUCUAAUGAAAAUCUUGGCCAUGACAGUGAGUGGUAUUUUAUUGAGGUGUAUGUGUGGUAUGUUCUAGUUGGUAUCACCUAAGUUCAGAAAAGGUGUUGAACACAUCUCUGAAUUUUGCCUGCCAUCUAAUGUAUAUAAAUCUGCUUUUAAUCCCCAAAAAGAAUAUUCAUACUUUGUUUUGUUAGAAAAUUAUCAAAAGUUGGUUGUAGAAAUUCUGUUUAUGAGAACUGUCUAAAACUUGCAAAUCAUCUAUUCCCUUAGACACUUUAUAUUUAAAUAAUGGACCGCUAAAGUUUGGAAUAGAAUUUUGUUUGCUAAACCAUCCCUUGGGGCUAUAUCUGUAUUAAAUUUGAGAAGGUUUAAUUUUUAGAAAAUCUAACAAGUUUUUACCAUAAGCAUGUUGUCAGAUUUUGCGUAUGAUAUCCCAGUGUCCUUUUUAUGAGGACCAGGAGAGAAGCUUCUUUGAGACUUCAUAUCACAAAUAGCUGGAAUUAACCUAAGAAACUAGUAUCUUUUUACUGUGGGACACUAUGGAACUUACAACUACACUUUUCGCUAUUGUUUGACUGCUAGAAAGAAAAAAGUCAAAUCUGCAAGCCAGUUCUGGCAAAAUUCUUAGAGCAGAUAUUUUUGAUACAAUUUUUACCUCCAACUUUGCUUUCCUCUGUCCUACCCCCAUUCAUCUUCCUCCCUUAUUCACCAUCAAGUUCAAAAUGUGUAUUUUUUGUCAGCUCCUGCUAAUUCUGUCUGGAGUGAGCUGGGAGGUAAUUAACUAGUUAAUAAAUUAAUUACUAGCUACAUUGAGCAACAUGCUUUUUUCUCCUCUUCAGUCCAGUGCUUGCUUUUAUUUACUCCUCUCAUCUAUUCAUGUCUUCUUGUAAUAUGGCUACAGCUUGCCCACCUGCUUCGGCGUGUCUGUCAGGACAAUCUGAUGGGAGUGACCAGUCCCACAAAGCCUGGAACUAGAAGCUGCUGGGCCCUUUCCCAAUGUGGUCACCAACUCAGUUAUCAGCCUUUCUUGAAAGAACAACAUUGAAAUAAAUCCUCAAGGAACAGAGAGAGCCAGUUAACAAGUGAGGUUCCUAGGUGAGGCUGAAGCUGCUGAUUCUGGCACCAUAACUGGAGAAAUACUGGCUGUGAUCCAACAGAGUACUGCAAGUAAAUAAAAUAAAAUAAAGGUAUGUUCAAAUCCACUUUUGUUGGUGAUAGUUAUAACCAUUGUUUUUUAACAAAAUAGGCUCUUUCUCUUUCUAUAAUUUAUAAUAGAGAUCCUUUACCACAUCUAUAUCUACUUCCCCAUAGUCCACUGCAGCAUGUGUAACCAAUUCUAAACCAUAAAUAUGUUGACACUUAUGAUUAAUCUGAUGGAUGUGAGUCUCUUUCCUGAAAUAAUUUUAAUCAUUUUCCAGGGAGCUUUUGCAAAAAUCUAAUACAUCUCACUAAAUGUAGAUAGUAUCAGAUUGACUCCAGAAUGAUAAAAAACACACCCAAUAUCCAGAGAGAGCUCUGAGAGAGCAUCACAAUUAUUCUGAUACUCCGUCCAAAAAGAAAACCAACCAACCAACUAUAAUACGAUAACUAACUCUCCUGGAAACCAUUUGGUGAAUUUAAUGUCAUGCAAAUAUCUGUGGAAGUAGUUGUUAGGUGUGGAAUUACAGAAUUAGGAUUUGGAUCCCUACUGUCAAUUGUAGAUGGGUCCUGGGAGGACCAAAAGAAUCUAUUUCUGACCAUCUAUUUUUAAGCCCUUUGGCCAAAGUUAAUUGUUAAUUGAUUUGUCAUAGAUUCAUUCCCUGACGUCAGCUCUCCAUAGCACCUGCUAUAGCCCUCAUAGCUUUCUCCUGGAUUACUGAAAUCACAUCCUUAAUGGUUCUGCCAUCUUGGAACAGGCCUCUGCCAGUCUCCCCUCAAAGACCUGCCAGAUAUUUUCUGUGAUGCAAACCUGAUCAACAGCUAUCUCCCGCAUCCUAACAUUUUUGGAGUAAAACUCAUACUUGCAAAC
rnacentral:lncRNA from 1 species